UACGGGGAGGGCAAGCGUUGUUCGGAAUUACUGGGCGUAAAGGGCUCGUAGGCGGCCAACUAAGUCAGACGUGAAAUCCCUCGGCUUAACCGGGGAACUGCGUCUGAUACUGGAUGGCUUGAGAUUGGGAGAGGGAUGCGGAAUUCCAGGUGUAGCGGUGAAAUGCGUAGAUAUCUGGAGGAACACCGGUGGCGAAGGCGGCAUCCUGGACCAACACUGACGCUGAGGAGCGAAAGCCAGGGGAGCAAACGGG
rnacentral:rRNA from 1 species